GAUGAACGCUGGCGGCGUGCCUAAUACAUGCAAGUCGAACGGACAGACGCGGAGCUUGCUGGUCUGACGUUAGCGGCAGACGGGUGUAUAACACGUGGAUAACCUACCUAUAAGACUGGGAUCACUUCGGAAAACGGGAGCUAAUACGGGAUGAGAUCUUGAACCGCGGGGGUCAAAAGUGAGAGACGGUCGUGCUGUCACUACUAGAUGGAUUCGCGCUGCAUGAGCUAGUUGGUCAGGUAACGGCUUACCAAGGCAACGAUGCGUAGACGAACUCAGAGGGUGAUCGGCCACACGGGAACUGAGACACGGUCAAGACGCCUACGGGAGGCAGCAGUAUGGAAUCUGCCGCAAUGGGCGAAAGCCUGACGGAGCAACGCCGAGUGUGUGAUGAAGGCGUUGCGAUCGUAAAACCCGGUUAUGAGGGAAGAACAUAUGUGUAAGGAACUGUGCACAUCUUGACGGUACCUAAUCAGAAAGCCACGGCUAACUACGUG
rnacentral:rRNA from 1 species